UUUAUCAGACUGAACGUAGGAAGCUACAGCUGAGCUUGUCUGACAGCUUUCCUUUUAUAUCCCUAACAUGUAGCUCAUCCUGUCCUGAACUAGACAUCGAACAACACAUCUAAAUCACGCUCCAAAGCAAAGUAAAGGUCCUGGGGAUUUUUUUGGUGUUCCCACCCCCCUCAGUUUCAAGGCAUGAAGCUGAACUGAGAGGGAAAGGGGCGCUUGUUCCCAGUGGGUAAAGAAAGGAAGGCUGAAAUUAAGGAUUUUCUCCAGUGAUAGUACUCCCCAGGCGGCAAACCCCACCUCUGAGUUUCCAGUAAACCUACCAGCACUACAAAGCAAACAAAUCAGGAAACGUCAAGGUGUAUUUACUCUCCUGUUAACCUGCUGGCCCUCUCCCUCUCUGGCACACGUUGGCGGCACGCAAGGGUGCACCCCGAUGCUGCGUCCCGGGAAGGGGGCAUGGCUGCGAGCCUGGCUGCGGAGAGGUGACCGAAUGAGGACCUGGCUCCCAACUCCCGCUCUCCGGCUGUCGCAGCGUGGAAAAGGGGUGCUGGAGGGGAGCCUGUGUUGGGAACAGCGGUGCUCAGGGGCUCUGCCAGCCCUUUGUGCUCUCUGCUCUCAGCCAGGGAGAAAAUUGGUUGUAAAGGAGAACUUGCACACACCUGUCUGCACCUGAAGCUGGAGGAGCUUAUGUUAGAGGUCACCCAGACUUGACUGCUGUCAAAUAUUGCCUGCAAGUGAGAUGGGUUUCCUGAAUGCUUUACUUGGUGACACAUCCAGAAUCUCUGGGAAGAGCUUUUUCAAAUAAGCUUGUCCUCAAGCUUUUUGCAGGUCUCUUUUCUUUUUUUUCUUUUUUUUCCUUCUUCCUUCUUAUAAAGAGAAUUAGGCAAUGACAGCAUUUUGAUGAAGUUGCUUCUUAGCCUCUUGCUUCAUAGCACGUGGCCUUCCUGAACAAUCAAGGAAAUGCUGAUAAAUUGGGUGUAGGAGUCUUGCCUGCCGUUCCUUUCCUCAUCUUAUGUUCCUCUUUCCGCUGCCCUUGGAGCAUGUCCUGUCCCUAGUUGCUCUGUUAAUUUGUCUAUACUUACAACACACUGUACAUAAACCACAACUGGGCGCAUUUUGCUCUGAUUAAAAUCAUGCUGUGUAAAAGAAAAUACAAAUUAGCUCUGGCCUUUGGGCUCCUGACAAGUUUCCAGCAGCACUUUCAGUAGCACAGAGAUUGUGUAACUCCGUGUCCUCCGUGCAGUGACGUCUCCUCCUCCGUCAUGAGCUGGGCUGGCUGCUGCACAUCCAGGUUCAGCUGUUAAUACUUCAAGCAGCUUUUAGCACUGAAGGAGGUAGGCAGAGAGGUUGCCAGCAACUGGGUGAAACGCAGGAACAUGCUGUUUCUUGGUAGGGGACAAUGAUGUGGGAAGGGGUAAAAGGAAGAGGAUUUCCUGGGUAAUUCCCCAAAUCUUGAUGAUUGUGCAAAUACCUCCCGGUCUAAUGUGUCCCGAGUGACUGGGGUGCCCAGCGCAGGGAGAGCUAAUGCUCCAGUACAGGAUUAACCCUUGAAGGAAGAGUACAGUAGCAUCUUAUACAAACGAUGGCUUAAGUUUGCCAGAUUUUUUACGCAACGAAGCACAAGGCGCUUUCCUGCCUCCUCCAGGGAUUCAAGCUGGGUACACUAUGUUGCAUCAUUUCAGCAUUGCUAACAGAAGGGCUGAGGCUGCAGCUAUUGCGUCGCAUUUUCAGUGGAAACCUUUAAGUCUCGGUGACUUCCUCUAAGGAUGCUGAACCAAACACCAUCCAGACCCGCAAGUGAACGAGCUGCAAAUGACGUCACUGGUUCGAAAUGGCGCGUGGGCAUGAUGUGGGCGAAUGUUCCCUGAGCUGGGUGUUUUCUAAAGUCUCGAUUGCUGCUGGGUAUCAUCUCCGGUAUUUGUUUAACCAGCCGUGCCCUGCUGGGUGACAGUCACCGUCCUCUAACUGAUGGGUGUGAGUUCUCCCCCUCUUCCCAAGAGACAAGAAGGCAUAUUUGUGGGUAUGUGUAUGUGGUUCGGCCAGUACAUGGAAGUGACAGAAGUCCCCUAAAAUUUCCCUUUCUCCCUUCUAGCAACCUCCCUGCCCUGCUCCCCCUUCUUUAUCCUCCCUGUGUGCCACCUACAGCAUAUGGCAUGUGCUUUGGGACAUGCACGAGGUCAGGCACGGGCUGUGGAUGCUUUUAUUGUGGCAAUGAUGAGCACUCUCUUCUCCCAUCCCCUCUGCUGCUGAGCAGAAUGCUGUUGGUCAUGUCCUUGAUAAGAACAGAUUGCUUGCUAAGACCCUUACCUGUAAUCAUAGCCCAGCAUCCCAGAGCCAUCAAUAAACCAUUUUUUCCCUGCUGAUACACGCCCUCAGCCCACCAUGAACCUUGCUGAAGAUCUGGGAAUGGCUAGACAAUAAGAGACUUGUGGGUGAAGGAUAUUGUAUGGUGAGGGUUUUCUUUCUUUCCUGGAUAACGAGGUCCAAAUGCUUUUUCAGAAGGGUGAAAAUGAAGGGCUUCCUAUUCUAAGGUGAGCUGAGCAACUGAGUGCUUCCGUGCCAAAGUGUGUGAAGGAGGAUCACUAAAAAUGCCUCUAACUUUUCAAGUGGACAGAAGAGGCUGAGUAGCUAGGUUUAGGGAGAAAAUAAGAGACCUAUAGAGAUAAGAUUAGGGGACAGAAAAAUGUUUCCUUUGGUUCUGUGGUUAUGAUAACCGCCCAGGUAGGGCUUCUGUUUGGGAGAUCAGAAGAUGAUGAGCCUACAGAUGCAUUUUAUAGAGUGCGCAGGGUGAAAUGAAUUCCAGACACCCUGCUUUUUUGAUCUCUAACAGUAACUUUAACCACACAAAAAUUCCCACACUCAACCCCUAGUGACAGCCUUGGCUAAUGUGACCUGUACUUAGCACCAUGACCCAAACCCCACUACUGGCCCCCACAACAGUGAGCCAUACCCAACCCAUAGUUCAUUAUAAGCCACAUGCAUAAGCAUGUAUUGUAGUGCUAGGGGUCUGUAUCAUCUUCUUAUCAUUCUAGUUCCUCAGUCCUAAGCUCUAUUCCCUAUUCCUGACACUUUUUCUAGCCUUCACUGCCCACUCCUGGCAAUAAUUCACCCCAGACUUUAGGUCCAGCACAUCGAUCAUCACUCCAGACCUCACGGGAAGCAAUGUGAUUUGUUUAGCUCAAGUGCCUUUGCAGCCCUGUCCCAGAAUGACAAGAACCGGGUCCUAGAUCUUAUCGCAUCUCUGCAAUCCUCACGUUAUUCAGGAAUAAUCCUAGACUUUCAGCCCUUUUUAUCCCAAAGCCUGAUUCCAGCUUUAGACAUAAACUAUCACCCAACACCCCCCCAAACACAACCCGAAGCUUCUGCCUCGCCGAGUACCAGCAAUCAUCGGGCUUGUCCAGAGGAGCAUAGAAAGUGGUGGUGCUCCUUGGUGUUGUGGUCUCUAACCCUAACUUUAGUGUUACAAACCUGCUGCUCUAUACAUACGGGCCUAUACCUCUGACUGCCAGAGCUGCUCACCCCUGCCAGCCCCUGCCCUCUGUGUUCCUAAGGUCUUUGCUGGAGUCCGGGCACAGGGCUGGGGGCACCCAGUGGUGCUGGGUGUGGAGGUGGGAAGUUGUGUUUGUCAGGAUUUGUGCUCGACAGGGCAGGACACGUUUUGGUGGAGGUUAGGGUGGAAAGAUCUUUCUUUUGGGGGGGGUGUGUGGCUUUAAGGAUCAACUGGCUUGUUCCAGCUGCUGAGGGGAUGGUAGGCUGGGUGCAACCUAGAGCGUGGGGCAAGAGGGAGCGUGAAAGUGUCUGUACAGCAGUGACAGAGCAGGGAGGCAUGCUAUCACAGAGAAAAGGCAGUGGGUCAGGGAUGAUUAGCAAAGCCUGAGAACGGCUGAUGUGUUUCAGUGGCCCUGCUCCUUUCUUUAAACAAGCCUCAUUGCUCCUGCCUGCUUACUUCUCACUGCACUUCCACUGGUUCUUCAUCACUGUCCCCACCCCUUGCCCUCCUGCCUCUGGAUCUCCAGAGCUACUUGCUCCUCUAGAGCUGGUUCUUCAGCCUCCCCAGCCCCGUGGCACUGCUGCCUCACCUUCUUUUGGCAGCCACAUCUCAUCCAGGGGCCAAGCAUAUGAACCCAGCGUUGCUUAUUACAAGGCGCUCUGCACCCCGUAUUUCACGUUGGCAUGUCUUGCUGGUCGGGAGCUGAGGACGGAGAGGGCUGUAGCUCCAGGUGUCUCCAGGUGCCAAUGUAUUGCUGUGAAUAAUGAACUUGCUUCUGAAGGUUUUUGGGGAUUGGGCUGUAAACUGGCUUCAUUCAUUUGUUUACUUUCAAGGUUGGUAUUGCAAUUUUUUUGUUUCUAAACUGCAUUUAAUAAGACUGUCAUAUAAAAGCUCUCCAAGUUCCUGGGAAGAAAACUUAUUAAAAGUGGGUUUGUCAUCCUUACAGUGUGCGGUCUUUGGCUUUUCUGAACUUUUGCUGUGUUACAUUCAAGAAUAGUUUAGUGUAGUUGGAAAGAAAGCUUGGAAAGAAAAAAGCUGAUGAAGAGCAGAUCAGACUGAGAGGGCGACGGAGCUGGUUUAUGCUUCUGUUUUUUGCAGCAGAGGAAGUAGGUAUUCCCCACCUGCUUAAGGAGUGCCCACAGCAGACUGAAUCACUAGCACACCUUGUUCUGAGAGGAAUCACAGCAGCAAAAGGACGUUGUUUGUGGCAACAAAGAAAGUGCUUAUUAAAUGGCAAGCUUUGCUUUGCGUGCUUAAGGUCGCGACUUCUUUCUUUUCCAAAAAACCCUAAGUUUGUUGCAUUAAUCAAGGCUGGUGAAGGGAAGGUCCCCACAGAGUGCCGAGACCAGCCUGCUUCCUCAUUCUUUGCACUCUCAUCAUUGGGCAACUUUCUUCUAUGUCAGGUGAAAACUUCCUCAUCCGAUCCAGUAACGCUGGACUCACUCUGAAGAAAACAAGGUCUCCUCCCCAUGUAACGCAUGUUAGGCAGCCUCACCCCACCUCUUAGGGGAAUACCCAACGGUGUGCUUCACCAUGGUGAUUAAGAGACCUCCUGAAAUACAACGUGUAUUUUUUAUGGCCACUUUGGAUAAAGUUACUGCUGCAGCUGGUAACUGCAACUUCAAGAUAAAACCCGCCACCUGACAACCUAAGAAACAGCAAACUAAGGAGCAAGGAAUUGUUCGUUUUUUUCAGACUCCAGCAUGGCUAUGUAUACUGAUGCUUCAUUGCACAUACACAGAGUAACAACUUUAACAGUUGUCUCUUAGUAGUUGUUAUGUUAUCUGUAAUUAUUUCUGCAAGAGCUCGCAGGCCCUACUGUUAAUAUGCAUCUUCCUGGGGGUGCUUUUGAAUCAGAUUAAUAAAGGAAACCAAUAUUUUUCAUAAAAAAGCCUCUUGAUAUGUAUUAUUUCCAGAAACGCACCUUACUGGUGUUUUUUACCCCUAUUAAGCUUAACAUCAGCUUUUUAGAGGACCGAAGCGGCCACAUUCAGAGUUGCUGAAAUACUGGGAUGUGCUGGAAAACAAGAGUCCUGAAACACCCACUACCAACAUCCUGCAUGUCAGAACCACACGCACUUUCUAAAUAGGUCAGGGUUUGGUCUAAGAAUCUGGUAUUUCUUGAAGACGUCCUUUACAUUUCCUAUACUUCUCUACUUCAUUCAGUCACAUAGCCUGUGUGCUGGAUUUCUUUGUUUUACGUUUCUUUGCUGCCAAAUCAUCAUCUCGUGUUGCUGUCUUAUAUAAAUGUUAACGUUAGCUAGCUUCACAAUAACAGCCUGGAAAGGAAACAUUUACUUCUGAGUUUUCCCCUGCCAAAAAAACCUACAGCGUGGUUUUUUUGGUGGCUACUGGUGGUUAAGGGUAUGGGAUGUAAAAUGAUAAUGCUGUAUGCAUGGUUAGUCUAUUACGGUUAUGAUCACCGUAACAUGCACUUCAACAUAUUUAUUGUUUCACUUUU